AGUGGUAAUGUAAAUUGAAACAAGUCUCUGAUAAAAUACAGCUUUUAAAGAAAGAGUCAUUCAAGUAACAGUGCUGCAGUAUUCAGCUGUUCUGUGUCACUAACAACUAAAGGAUCCUCCGGACUGUUAAUAAUUCUGUAGCAGGAUGAUAUCAUCUACUGCUGCUACAUCAAGGUGUUAAAUAAAUAUUAUGAGGUAAGAGUUUUCUGUAGCACAUAGUUGAAAUUGUCUGCAUAAAAUGGGCUGAGCUCUGUUACAGACUCACAGCUCACCACAGUGAACUGAGAAGGGAUAGCUUCAGUGUAGUUUACAGCAUCUAUAAAAAGUGACUGGAAAAUUGAUAAGAAAGAUGUUAGUUUCCUGACUUGUACAUCUUAGUCAGCUGAGCUGGAGACAAAUCACAAGAACAGCAAGGUCUGACUGCUUCCUCAUGCAGCUGACAGGAGAAAAUCCCUCUUUGUGCUGCCAGAGAGCUCGGUGCUGUGUCGCUGCAGCUCGGCCGGGGAAGGCGGAGGGGAUCGGGGAGCGCGGCUCUGUCCCUGCCGCGUCCGGGGCUCCCGGACCUGCUCCCGGCACAGCCGCGGCACGGAAUGAAGCCUCCCGCACGGGCUUCCUGCUGCCUCCCAGAUCACUGCCAGCUGUCCUGAUGUCAACUGGCAAAGGACAAAAGCAGCCCUGCCAUAAAGACCUUUGCUGAGAAGUGAUCUCUGCGGCCUCCUCCCUUUCUUCAGAGUGCCAGCAAAGAUAGCACAGCUCUCCAAUCUGGAACCAUCAGAGGAAUUCAGUCAUUUGGUUAACUUUCUAUUAUUGGGCAUAAAAGAAGAAAACCAAAACAAACACUCUUUUGACCGUUCUUCAAACCAACACCUCUGGUUGCAAUGCUGGGCAGAAUUUUUAUGGUCAGAGAUUAAUAUACUGAUGAAUGGUUGACUUAAUUCUCUUAAAUUGUCCCUUCCUGAAAAAGAAGCUCCUGGGGGCACUGUUUCGUUACAAAAAGAAGAGAAAAAAGCUGAGAAGAUUAAGAUGCUUCUGUUCUCAGAAUUGAAUUUUCCCACAAUGAUACACAGUGAUACUAUUGAGAAUAGCACAUAAGUUACAGAACUACUGUUGGUAAAUUUGGGUACUAUGAAAACUCCUCAGAGUCAAAAUUAGUCAUGGUAUCAAAAUAAAUCAAGGUAAUUCAUAACUGCAGCUGAGAAGCUCUGCUACAAUAUAUUAGGGAACUUACAAAAGGAUUUCCAGAAGUAACAGCUCAUUAAAUCUAUAGGUAGGGGGUGGGGAAAAAGUCCAUUUGUUGAUAAGAUCUCACACAGUGGAAAACAAAAAAAAGCUAUUGGAUUAGGUAGGAAAAAAAAUAAGAAAACAUUUUAAUUCCUAGAGAAUCUGUGUCUAAAGGAAGAAAUUCUAAAAAUAAUUAAUAAAACAAUAUCUUUGAUAAUAAUUCUCAUACAUGCCACUUACCUAUGGUCCAUUGCUUGAAAAAGGCCACAACAAAACCCCAAACCCUCUAAUCCUUAUUAAAAUAUACAGGCAGGAGCACAUACAUACUCAAAGAAAGCAUUCAUAUCCAAAAAACCAGAUUACUUUCAAAUAUUAACAUUGUAUCAAAUGUGAUUUCUUACUUUGCUUCUAUAGCGUAAAGCCAGUUUAAAGCUAAAUCAUCCAAAUAACAGUUAGGGAACAUCUUUUGUAAGUUUGUGUCACUUGGUGCUUUGGUGCUUCUUGACCUGUGGUCUUUUUUAGGACUACUGAGUCAUAAAUAUACUGGAUCGGGCGGGUAUUUAUGCUUCUUUUCAGCUCAGUGAUUGAGGCUGCCUGUCCUUGCUUUAACCUACUUUCCCUCCUAAAGUCAUUUUGCCUCAUAAGCCCCAUGGAGAUUUGAGAGGCAAAGCCAGUUUAUUCCUAUAGCCGUCCCACUUUGUUCAGAGAUAUUGCCAAAGGCUCAUUUGGAAACCUUCUCACAGGAAAUAGGAACAUUUGGUACUUUGCAAAAACCGUAAGGACUCAACUCAAAAUAGAAAGGUACAGUUAGCAACUGUAAGAGGAGUGUACUGCUUCUCUUCAAAUAUAACAUCUGAGGAAACCCAUUAAAAACAAUGAAAAAUAAUUAAUGCUCAUCACAUAUUCACUCAUGGGGUGAUUCUAAGCAUUAACUAUUGGCUAACUGUUUGACAGUUAUUAUUUAUAAUAUAAUAUAUUCUAUUCCUGAUGUGGAGUUUGCCACACAUUCUGUAGCAGAGUUAAA
rnacentral:lncRNA from 1 species